rnacentral:rRNA from 1 species
UUAAGCGACUAAGCGUACACGGUGGAUGCCCUGGCAGUCAGAGGCGAUGAAGGACGUGCUAAUCUGCGAAAAGCGUCGGUAAGGUGAUAUGAACCGUUACAGCCGGCGAUGUCCGAAUGGGGAAACCCAGUGUGAUUCGUCACACUAUCGUUAACUGAAUACAUAGGUUAACGAGGCGAACCGGGGGAACUGAAACAUCUAAGUACCCCGAGGAAAGAAAUCAACCGAGAUUCCCCAGUAGCGGCGAGCGAACGGGGAGCAGCCCAGAGUCUGAAUCAGCUUGUGUGUUAGUGGAACGGUCUGGAAAGUCCGACGGUACAGGGUGAUAGUCCCGUACACCAAAAUGCACAGGUUGUGAACUCGAAGAGUAGGGCGGGACACGUGGUAUCCUGUCUGAAUAUGGGGGGACCAUCCUCCAAGGCUAAAUACUCCUGACUGACCGAUAGUGAACCAGUACCGUGAGGGAAAGGCGAAAAGAACCCCGGCGAGGGGAGUGAAAAAGAACCUGAAACCGUGUACGUACAAGCAGUGGGAGCACCCUUUAGGGUGUGACUGCGUACCUUUUGUAUAAUGGGUCAGCGACUUAUAUUCUGUAGCAAGGUUAACCGUAUAGGGGAGCCGCAGGGAAACCGAGUCUUAACUGGGCGUUAAGUUGCAGGGUAUAGACCCGAAACCCGGUGAUCUAGCCAUGGGCAGGUUGAAGGUUGGGUAACACUAACUGGAGGACCGAACCGACUAAUGUUGAAAAAUUAGCGGAUGACUUGUGGCUGGGGGUGAAAGGCCAAUCAAACCGGGAGAUAGCUGGUUCUCCCCGAAAGCUAUUUAGGUAGCGCCUCGUGAAUUCAUCUUCGGGGGUAGAGCACUGUUUCGGCUAGGGGGUCAUCCCGACUUACCAACCCGAUGCAAACUACGAAUACCGAAGAAUGUUAUCACGGGAGACACACGGCGGGUGCUAACGUCCGUCGUGAAGAGGGAAACAACCCAGACCGCCAGCUAAGGUCCCAAAGUCACAGUUAAGUGGGAAACGAUGUGGGAAGGCACAGACAGCCAGGAUGUUGGCUUAGAAGCAGCCAUCAUUUAAAGAAAGCGUAAUAGCUCACUGGUCGAGUCGGCCUGCGCGGAAGAUGUAACGGGGCUAAACUGUGCACCGAAGCUGCGGCAGCGACACUAUGUGUUGUUGGGUAGGGGAGCGUUCUGUAAGCCUGCGAAGGUGGCCUGUGAGGGUUGCUGGAGGUAUCAGAAGUGCGAAUGCUGACAUAAGUAACGAUAAUGCGGGUGAAAAGCCCGCACGCCGGAAGACCAAGGGUUCCUGUCCAACGUUAAUCGGGGCAGGGUGAGUCGACCCCUAAGGCGAGGCCGAAAGGCGUAGUCGAUGGGAAACAGGUUAAUAUUCCUGUACUUGGUGUUACUGCGAAGGGGGGACGGAGAAGGCUAUGUUAGCCGGGCGACGGUUGUCCCGGUUUAAGCAUGUAGGCGGAGGUUCCAGGUAAAUCCGGUACCUUUUAACGCUGAGGUGUGAUGACGAGGCACUACGGUGCUGAAGUAACAAAUGCCCUGCUUCCAGGAAAAGCCUCUAAGCAUCAGGUAACAUUGAAUCGUACCCCAAACCGACACAGGUGGUCAGGUAGAGAAUACCAAGGCGCUUGAGAGAACUCGGGUGAAGGAACUAGGCAAAAUGGUGCCGUAACUUCGGGAGAAGGCACGCUGAUAUGUAGGUGAAGCCCCUGCGGGUGGAGCUGAAAUCAGUCGAAGAUACCAGCUGGCUGCAACUGUUUAUUAAAAACACAGCACUGUGCAAACACGAAAGUGGACGUAUACGGUGUGACGCCUGCCCGGUGCCGGAAGGUUAAUUGAUGGGGUUAUCCGUAAGGAGAAGCUCUUGAUCGAAGCCCCGGUAAACGGCGGCCGUAACUAUAACGGUCCUAAGGUAGCGAAAUUCCUUGUCGGGUAAGUUCCGACCUGCACGAAUGGCGUAAUGAUGGCCAGGCUGUCUCCACCCGAGACUCAGUGAAAUUGAACUCGCUGUGAAGAUGCAGUGUACCCGCGGCAAGACGGAAAGACCCCGUGAACCUUUACUAUAGCUUGACACUGAACAUUGAGCCUUGAUGUGUAGGAUAGGUGGGAGGCUUUGAAGCGUGGACGCCAGUCUGCGUGGAGCCAACCUUGAAAUACCACCCUUUAAUGUUUGAUGUUCUAACGUUGGCCCCUAAUCGGGGUUGCGGACAGUGUCUGGUGGGUAGUUUGACUGGGGCGGUCUCCUCCCAAAGAGUAACGGAGGAGCACGAAGGUUAGCUAAUCCUGGUCGGACAUCAGGAGGUUAGUGCAAUGGCAUAAGCUAGCUUGACUGCGAGCGUGACGGCGCGAGCAGGUGCGAAAGCAGGUCAUAGUGAUCCGGUGGUUCUGAAUGGAAGGGCCAUCGCUCAACGGAUAAAAGGUACUCCGGGGAUAACAGGCUGAUACCGCCCAAGAGUUCAUAUCGACGGCGGUGUUUGGCACCUCGAUGUCGGCUCAUCACAUCCUGGGGCUGAAGUAGGUCCCAAGGGUAUGGCUGUUCGCCAUUUAAAGUGGUACGCGAGCUGGGUUUUAGAACGUCGUGAGACAGUUCGGUCCCUAUCUGCCGUGGGCGCUGGAGAAUUGAGGGGGGGCUGCUCCUAGUACGAGAGGACCGGAGUGGACGCAUCACUGGUGUUCGGGUUGUCAUGCCAAUGGCAUUGCCCGGUAGCUAAAUGCGGAAGAGAUAAGUGCUGAAAGCAUCUAAGCACGAAACUUGCCCCGAGAUGAGUUCUCCCUGAGACUUUAAGUCUCCUGAAGGAACGUUAAAGACGAUGACGUUGAUAGGUCGGGUGUGUAAGCGUAGCGAUACGUUGAGCUAACCGAUACUAAUGAACCGUGAGGCUUAACCUU